UACGAGGGGGGCUAGCGUUGCUCGGAAUCACUGGGCGUAAAGGGUGCGUAGGCGGGUCUUUAAGUCAGGGGUGAAAUCCUGGAGCUCAACUCCAGAACUGCCUUUGAUACUGAAGAUCUUGAGUUCGGGAGAGGUGAGUGGAACUGCGAGUGUAGAGGUGAAAUGCGCAGAUAUCAGGAAGAACACCCGUGGCGAAGGCGGCUCUCUGGGACGGUACUGACGCUGAGACGCGAAAGCGUGGGGAGCGAACAGG
rnacentral:rRNA from 1 species